GCCGGGGGAUGCAAUCGUUAUCCGGAAUCACUGGGCGUAAAGCGUCUGUAGGUGGUGAUGCAAGUCACUGGUGCAAAACUCUGGCUCAACCGGAGGAAAGCCAGUGAAACUGCAUGACUAGAGUGUGGGAGAGGUAGAAGGAAUUCCCUGAGUAGCGGUGAAAUGCGUAGAUACAGGGAAGAACACCGGAGGCGAAAGCGUUCUACUGGAACACAACUGACACUGAGAGACGAAAGCUAGGGGAGAGAAUGGG
rnacentral:rRNA from 1 species